AACGCGAAGAACCUUACCUGGGCUUCUCGGUGUGAAGGCCGGAACGGUGGCCGACCCUUCGGGACCAGCACAGGUGCUGCAUGGCUGUCGUCAGCUCGUGUCGUGAGAUGUUGGGUUAAGUCCCGCAACGAGCGCAACCCCCCUGUGUUGCCAGCAUUAAGUGGGGACUCACAGGGGGCGCCGUGACAACGGAGGAAGGUGGGAGACGUCAAGUCUCAUGGCCUAUCCAGGGCUAGAAACGUGCUACAAUGGCCGGUACAAUGGGCUGGAUACGUGAGGCGGAGCGAAUCAUCAAAGCCGGUCUAAGUUCGAUUGAUCAACUCGACUCCAUGAAGCGGAGAUGCUGUAAUCGCAGAUCAGCGAAGC
rnacentral:rRNA from 1 species